UGGGUGGUGGUGGUGACUUGUAAACUGGAGUUGGUGGUGAUGGUGAUUUGUAGACUGAGUGUGUAGAGAGUAGUAUGACUCCUUAGGUGGUGGUGGUGAAUUGUAAAUGGGAGUUGGUGGUGGCAGAGACUUAUAAACUGGUGCGGGAUUGAUAUAGCUCCUUGGGUGUGGAGGCGAUAUGUAGACUAGGGUUGGUGGAGGUGGUGACUUGUUGACUGGGUGUGUGGAGGGUAGUAAGGCUCCUUAGUAGUGGUGGCGACUUGUAAACUGUAGUCGGUAGAGGCGGUGACUUGUAGAUUGGGGUAUGAGGAGGGUAGUAUGGCUCCUUAAGUGGUUGUGGUGACUUGUAAACUGGAGUCGGCGAAGGUGGCGACUUAUAGACUGGGUGUUUGGAGGGUAGUAAGGCUCUUUGGGUGGGGGUGGCAACGUAUAAACUUGAGUUAGUGGAAGUGGUGAUUUGUAGACUGGGUGUGUGGGGGAUAGUAUGGCUCCUUAGGUAGUAGUGGUGAUUGGUAAAUAGGAGCCGGUGGAAAUGGCGACUUAUAGACUGGGUGUGUGGAGGGUAGUAAGGCUCUUUUGGUGGGGGUGACGACUUGUAAACUGGAGUUGAUGGAGGUGGCAAUUUGUAGACUGGGGUGUGUGGAGGAUAGUAUGGCUCCUUGGGUGGUGAUGGUGGUGACUAGUAAAGCGGAGUUGAAGGUGAUGGUGAUUUAUAAAGUGGUGCAGGAUGAUAAGGUGUUGGUGAAGGAUGGUAUGGCUCUUUUGGUGAUGGUGGAGAUAAAUAUUGAUAAUUUGCUGAGCUUUGGGAAGCCAAGCAAAGUGACACAAAAACCACUAAAAGAGUGGAAAAUAGAGAGGCCAUUUCUCCCAAAAAGAAACAAAGGAGAGAAGUUGUUGUCCCUUUAAGCUGCACUCAAAGCCCUUUGUAUAGCUUUCAUUUAGAAGGUAUAAGGCUAAAGUUAUGUAUUUUUAAUUAGUUUUGUCAUGUUGUCGGUUCAAUUUGACCUUUGUUGGUAUACUUUUUUUUUUUUGUUGGAUAGAAGGUGCAAGCUAAGCAAAGAAAUUAACUACUAUGGCAGCUAUACUAUUUAUGAUGCAAUAAUUCAAAAAAAAAUACGUGGAUCCCACAACUUCCCACAAGAUUUUAGUUAUAGGAAUCUGAGCACUUUUUUUUUACACUUAGGGUGUGUAUGGUACGAUGGAAAAUAUUUUCUGAAAAAUGUUGGUUGUAGUAAAAAAUAUUUUCUAAGAUAAUUCAUUUUUUCCUAUUUGAGGGAAAAUGACUUCCCUCAUGGACCAAGGGAAGUUAUUUUUCGGAAAAUGAUAAAUGUGACUUAUGCCCCCAUCCUCACCCCUCUUCCCACCCCAACAACACUCAUAUUCACAUAACUCAAAAAAUUCACAUUUUUAAAAAAUUUAUUUUACUCAAAAUAUUUUUCACUGUGCUUUGCUUCAAUUUUUCACUGCUUGAAAUAAAAAAUAGUGAAGCCCGACUUUUUUUCAUUUCCAAUGUUCGUUGAAUGUAUUGUUAUUUUCAUAUGCAUAGAGGAAGACUUACCUAUGUUACUUUUGCUAAUUGCAUAUUUUAUUUUGUCAUCGAUGUUACUUCUUUCACGAGGUUGAAUAAGCUUAUCGUCCCGUUAUAUUUCUAUUGAUUGUAGUAUCUUGAGAUUGUCCUGAAAAAAUGUUGAAAAGUGUCUCCUAUAUUUGCUAAUUAAUAGUUGCUUAAAUUUAGUGAUUGUAAUAUUUUAGUAUUCGAUAUUGAUAUUAUUUAUUAUGCUUAAAUUAGUUCUUACAAAUUGUUGAGUUGCUAGAUGCACUGAUAUACUAGUUAACAGUUAGUAGUAUUUUCUAAAAAAAAAAAUUUCACUCACCAAUCAAACACUAGAAAAUAUUUUUCUAAAAAAUAUUUUCUACUCACCAACCAAACACCAUAAAAUAUUUUUCGAAAAUAUUUUUCACUCACCAACCAAACAUGAGAAAAUAAAUAGAAAACCAACUUAUUUUCCAAGAAAACAUUUUUCAUGAAAAAUAUUUUCCAUCGUACCAAACACACCCUUAGUAUUUGAAGAAUUCAAUUCUUGUGGAUUCUGACAGCUUAACUAACCUUCACUUAAGUGCUGAGAAAUUUAAAACAAUAUGUAUACAGUAUCAUAUAUUCUUUAAAAGAAAUGAUAUGUCAUUGUUAAAAGAGUUUAAUCUAGAGAAAACUGUGCAUGUGACUCGCUUUCAUUACCAACUAAAUCAAUUAUGUUCUUUCCUUUUGUGUAGUAGAGCUAAAAGAAACAUCAACCGAUUAUUUUGUAGCUCAAUGUUGAAAACUUAUGUGGUUCAAUAUGAUAUCUCUGAAAAUUUUACAGCUUGUUUGAUAGCUGCUGCCUAAUAAUGUAUUGUAUCGUGUUGCUAGUUUAAAUAUAAUGUGUAUUUUGAUUGUUUCUUAAAUUUUACUGUAUCAUUAAAUCUAUAACUAGAUAGCAAUAAAAAGUCUCAUUUGGUGUAACGACCUAUUUGAUGUGAUCGCGUUGUUACCUUUUUUCCCCUUUUUAUUUAUUAUUUAAUUAUCUUAAUGCUCCUUUAUCCUAUAUUUUUAUAGUAACUCUACCUCACAUUUUUCUAUUUUCCUUCUAGGCUUAUCCUUGAACUGUUAUAUGAAGGAUGCAAUGUAAUGACGAAAAAGGUAUAAUAAAUCCAAAUAUCGUAACAUUCACUAAAAUAAUAAAGUACAUACAAUACAACAUGAUACUUUAUGAAACAAUAUCAUUCCAAGUUAAGGACUUGAUUAGAAUGUGCAUGUUAAGUGUCUGAUGGGUUACUUAAGUAUAAAGUUCAAGUCCAUAUAAAAAGAUAAACCCUAAUUAUAAUGCCUUCAUCAUGGCUGGUCGACAGUAGUCUACUACUGAAUUUCCUCCUUUGAACCCAAAUUCUAUUGUGAAUAUCCAAACCCUACCGUUGGAUAAAUCUUUUGUUGAAUCAAUCAGUACAACAAAGUUGGACACCGUCUCUCGCAAAGAGGUGGUCAUGGUGGAAGGAAUCCCGAAUGUCACACUGAAAAAAGUGGAUACAGUGAAUAAAAUGGAGAAUUUGCAAUUUGUUGUCAUAGGUAAAUUCACUUAAGAAUGGACGGGUAUAGAAGAAUUAAGGAAUAUUAUCCCACAGCAAUGCAACAUUAAUGGUGAUUGUCAAAUUGGAGUAUUCAGAAAUAAACAUAUUUUCAUUCGUUAGACACAGGAGUCGGAUUUUAUUAAUAUCAUCAUCUCAAAGGGAGCUUUUUCCUUGCACUGUAAGGAUGGGUUCUCUUAUUUGAUGCGAACACUCUCACACUUAUCUAUGAUCCCCUUUUCAAAGAAACUUUAGAGACUACAAAGACUUUCGCAUGGAUUUCUUUCCCAAAUCUAUUGCCUACCUAUUAUGUCAAGGAAUGUUUGUUUUCUUUAGCUGCAACAGUGGGAAAGCCUGUCCAACUUGAUCUAGCCACCAUUAAUAGGACUAGACCAAGUUGUGCAAGGAUUAAGGUCUUGGUUGAUCUAAAAGCUGAUUUCUCUAAAUCAGUCCGGAUGGAUAUUGAAAAUGAAGAGUCAGGUAAAUGCAGGACAAUAGUGAAGCGGAUUAAAUUCGACCAUAUUCCUAAGUAUUGUCAUGAAUGCAAUAUGCAAGUUCAUGCUAAGAAUCAAUGUAGAAACUUAGGCACCCCAGAGGAUGCAACAAUGGCAGUAACAGUGGAUAAUAAGGAAUAAAAGAGGCCAGUACAACAUCUUCCUAAAUUCACAAUGCCUUUUGUACACAAAUUUCAAAACGGAAAAGCAUGAGUUCUUUCGAGUGGGAUUGUAGUUGGAGAUCCUACUAACUGGAUGGUUAUUAAAAAUGAUAAGAGGAUAGUUAAUACUUCCCAACAGCCUCUUUUAAUGAUAUAGUUAAUACUUCCCAACAGCCUCUUUCAAUGACAAAUAACCAAUUUGCUGCUCUAGCUACCGACGACAAAGAACCUGCUGAAUUAAACAUUUCGACAAAGGAGAGUUCAAACCUUAAGGCAUGUACGGAUGUGUUCCAAAUAAUAAGGAAAAUGAAAAAGUUAAUCUGUGGUCCAAUAAAGAAUCUGCUAAAGAGUGGGUAUCAAGGGAUUUUGGCAAGCUAGGUGAAGUUCCCAAUUCUGUAAUACCUGUACAGCAACAAGGCAGUCAGCAACUAAGUAAUCAACAACAAAGGCAAGAUAGAGAUAAUAAUGCUAAAGAGAAUAAUAAAGAUGGUAAUGGGAUGGAGAAUGAUAUGCAGGUUAAAUCUUUAAUAAAUCAGGAGCAUAAUAUUGAUGAUGGUCAGCAACAAUGCCUCAUAGUCAAAAAGGACAAUCUGCAAUCUAUAGAAGAUGUGCAACCAGAUACCAAGCAAUAGUCAAUGCAGAUUAAUCAAGAUUUUUACAGUGGAAGCUAUGAUAAUGGAGAUAGGUCAGUUGAGGAAAGUGUGGGGAUAACAGUUGUGAUGCAAGGGGAACAAAAUGUGUGUUUAGAAAUAAUGGAGAUUCCAAAACCAGUGCAGAUAGAUGAAUCAUUUAUCGUUACCAAGAGUUCUCCCAACAAAGUAAUACAUGACAUUGUCUCUCAUAGUUUAGGGUACAUUAAAUGCAGUAAUCAAACUCACAUGGCCAAAGGAGUUAAAGAAGUAGAUGUAGAAGAUGAUUCGAAGGAUCAUGCUCCAUCGGAAGCUGAUUUAUCACCAAGACUGAUGAAAAUCUCUAAAAAAGGAUAAAAAAGAAUGUGGAUGGGAGAAAACUCACAACCUACCAGAGUUCAUCCUAAGCGAUCCAAAUCUGCCCUAAAUUAUCAAUGAAAGCACUUAUUUGGAACAUUAGGUCUGUGAAGACACAACAAGAUUUCAAAGACUUCAGAUGCUUAAUAAUUAUCAUAAGUUCACCGGUUUCAGUUUGUUAGAGCCUUUUCAGAAUGUUAGAUAUAAGAGAAGAUUGAAAAUGCAUAGGGCUAUGUCAAACUGCAAUAGCAAGAUUUGGUUUUUCUCCUCUCAAGAUGUGAUAACAACUGUUAUUAAAGACACUGAUCAUCAGCUACAGUUCACUUGCAGGAGUAGGCUCAGAGCUUAGAUUUAUUACUCUUGUUUAUGCAAAGUGUUCUAAAGAGGAGAGAUUAAUCUUAUGGAAGGAUAUUUAUCAAGUUGCUUCUGGAAUUUCAAAACCUUGGAUGCUAGGAGGAGAUUUAAUGUUGUUUUGAAUUCUGAAGAGAAAAUUGGUGGCCUUCCAAUUCUUGAUGCAGGCCAUGGGGACUUUCAAUCAUGUAUUUCUUAUUGUGAUUUGAUGGAGAUACCUUUUAAAGAAAGUUCUUUCACUUGGUGGAAUGGUAGAGCAGGUAAUGACUGUAUUUUAGAAAGAUUGGAUAGAAUUUUUACUAAUCAACAACAACAACAACAACAACAACAACAACAACAAACCCAGUGUAUUCCCACCUAGUGGGGUCUGGGGGGGUAAGAUGUACGCAGUCCAUACCUCUACCUCUGCUGAAUUUUUACUAAUCAAGAUUUACAAAAUAAGUUCAAUCACAUGAAGGUAGAACAUCUUGCUACUAGUUCAGAUCAUGCUCCCAUGUUGUUGUAUUGUUAUGACAGAGCUAUCAGUUACAAGAAAUCUUUUAGAUUUCUUAAGUUUUGGACUGAUCAUCCUAAGUUCCUAGAAGUAGUAAGGCAGAAUUGGUGUUCUUCAGGUUCUCAGAGUCCAUUCUUAGAUUUCAAAGCAAAGAUUAAGAGAAUUAAAGUUGCUUUGACAAGAUGGAGUAAAGAGACUUCUGGGGAUAUUUUUAAAUAGUUGAUAAUCAGGGAAGAAAUUGUCAAGAUCAAAGAGAAAUUAUUUGAGGAAUGCCCUACGGCUGAUAACAGCGAAGUGUUGCAAAGAGCUCAGUCCGAGCACAAAAUAUAUCUUCGUUUUGAAGAGAUUUUUUGGCAGCAAAAAGCAGGUUAUGACUGGUUUGAGAAUGGUGACAGAAAUAUUAAAUUUUUUCAUAGCACUGUGAAGGGGAGGAGGAAAAGAUUGAAUUUGAAUAGAAUUCAAAUUAAUCAGGGUAUUUGGCUGGAUAAAGAAGAAAAGAUAGCCGCAGAGGUUGUUAUGUUUUAUCAGGACCAAUUUAGACAAGAACAAGAGGCUAAUGUUUUUUCAUAACUGAAUAAUAUACCUAAGAGUAUUUCUGAUGAGCAAAAUAUUGUUUUAAGUCAGUAAGCUGAUCUUGAAGAAGUUAAAAAGGCACUUUUUAGCUUAAAUGAAUAUAGUGCAAGUGGCCCGGAUGGGUUAACAAGUAGGUUCUAUCAGGUUCGCUGGGAUAUUAUUGGUAAUGAUGUUCUUAAUCUGGUGCAAGAUUUCUUAAAAGGUAAUACUCUUCCCAAAUUCAUUAUUCAUACUAAUUUGGUGUUGCUUCCCAAGAAGGAUUUUAUUCAAUUUUUCUCAGAUUUGAGACCAAUUAGUCUUAAGUAAUUUUAUUAAUAAGAUCAUUUCUAGGAUUGUGCAUGACAAAAGUGAACUUCUUUUGCCUAGACUGAUUUCUUUUAAUCAAUCUAAAUUUGUCAAAGAGAGAAGAAUUAUUAAAAAUUUCCUCCUGACUCAAGAGAUAGUUACUGACAUCAGAAAAAUGGGUAAGCCGGCUAAUGUGGUCUUAAAGCUUGAUAUGACUAAGGCUUAUGAUAGGGUUUCCUGGUUUUUCCUGAUGAAGGUUCUAAGAAAAAUAGGGUUCUCAAAAUUGUUUAUGGACUUGUUUUGGAGAUUAUUGUCUAAUAAUUGGUAUUCUAUACUAAUUAAUGGGCGAUCACACGGCUUUUUUCACUCAACUAGGGGAGUAAAACAAAGAAAUCCUUUAUCUCCAGCUUUCUAUUUGAUGAUGCUCAAUAUGUAGGUUAUGAUAUGCCAAAGUGGAGUUCCAAUAUUAAUCAUCUUGCUUAUGCAGAUGACACUAUUAUAUUCGCUGCAGCUAACAGAUACUCUUUGAGAAAGAUUUUUUCAGUGUUACGGGAAUAUGAAACUCAAUCAGGGCAAAAAGUUAAUAAAGAGAAGAAUGCUUUCUACAUGCAUCAGAAUUCAGCUGCAGUUGAUAAACAAAUGGUGGAAGAUUGUGCGGCUAUUUCUAAAGGCCAAUUUCCUUUGAAAUACCUUGAAUGUCCUAUCACUCAUGCUAGAAAAAGAAAGAGUCAUUAUUCAGAGCUAAUUCAGAAGGUUAAGUCAAAAUUACAGGCUUGAAAAGGUAAUAUUCUCUCAUAUGGGGGGAAAGGAGGUCCUUAUCUCUAGUGUUCUUCAAAGUGUUCCUAUACAUAUCCUUUCUGUUGUUGUCCCUCCUAUUUGUGUAUUGAAGGAGCUUCACAGAAUAUUUGCAAAUUUUUUUGGAGUAAUAAGGCCGAUGGAAGAAACAAACACUGGGCUGCUUGGGUAAAGGUGUUUUUACCAAAACAGAAGGCAGUUUGAGUUUUAGAUCGAUGUUUGAGGUAUCUCAAGCCAUGUAUCCUAAGUUCUGGUGGAAGUUCAGAACUCAAAAUACUACUUGGUCCAACUUUAUAUGAGACAAGUAUUGCAAAAAGCAAAUACCUUCACUAGUUUAAUGGAAAGGUGGCUCGCAAGUAAGGAAGCAUAUGUUGCAAAAUAGGGAUCUAGUGGAGCAAUUCUUGUGGUGGAACCUAAAGGAGGUACUUCUACAGUUUGGUAUGAUAAUUGGACUCAACUUGGUCCUCUUUUCAAACACCAGGUAGAGGUCAUUCUUCUUUUCCAGUGAUGGAUAUUGAGGAAUUCAUGUUGGGCUCAGACUGGGAUUUUGAGAAUAUGCAAUAUCAUUUAUCAGAUAAUGUAGUAGAGCAUGUAAGAUUACAUUUGAGGCUUGUACGACAUCCUGGAGAAGGUGACAAGCCCUGGUGGAUUAAAUUUAGUUCUGGCAAGUUCUCGGUUAAAAGUGCUUGGGAAGAACGGAGGAAAAAAACGUUUGUAAUGAGUCAUUUCAGAAGAUCUGGGUAAAAGAGAUUCCUUUCAAAAUUUCUUACUUUGGUUGGAGAGUUUGGACAAAUAGGAUUCCUGUAGCCUCUGUUUUAGCUAAUUGGAAUCCUAACUUGUCUCCUCUUUAUUCAUAUUGUGUUUCAAGAAAUCAUGGAGCACCUCUUUCUAAAAGGUGAAGUGGUUUAUUUCGGUUUGGAUUUAUUACGCCAAUGCUGCAGGUAUUCUGGGGCCCUGGGUUCAAAUUAAACUAUCCAUAAAGAAGUGGUGGGAUAUAAAUGGUAAUUAAAGACAAAGAUUCAUCUUUCAGGUAGUUCCUACUCUCAUUUUGUGGUUUUUACGGAAAAGAAGGAAUGCAUUAGUUCAUGGAGGUUCAUACUCUACAGCCAAGGUUAUUUGGGAUAUUAAUGGUUUAAUUAAGAAAAUUCUCAGAAAGAAGUUUGGUUAUGAUCAGUUACCAUCUAGUUGGCCUCAAAUAGUUGCUUUUUGACUUAUUUAGACCUACAUUUUUAUCUAGAUGGAUAAGAUGGUAUCCCCCACCUAGGGGAUAGUGGAAAUAUAACACUGAUGGAACCUCGAGAGGUAAUCUAGGUCGAAUUUCAGCUGAUUUUUGUGUACGAAAUCAUGUAGGUGAUCUUGUGUAUGCUAAGGGUUUCUCUAUUCCAGAUUCCACUAAUCUGGUUGUUAAAGUCAUUGCUAUAGGAGUUGGUUUACAUUAUUGCUUAGAAAAUCAAAUUGUCAACAUUAUUGUGGAAUCUGAUUCCCUUGUAGUAGUCAACAUGAUUAAUGGAGUGUGGGAAAUUCCUUAGAGUGUGAUAAUGGAGGUCAACUCCAUUAAAGAUAUGAUGGAUUCUUGUUCAGCAAGAGUACAACACUCCUUAGGAAAGGGAAAUACUCUUGCUGAUUAUUUAGCUAACUUGGUUUUUCAUUUUGCAGGUAACUUUGAAUUCAACAGUUUUCAUGAAAUUCCAAGCGCAGGUAGGAAGAUUAUCAAUCUAGACAAACAAGGCAUUCCACAAAUGAGGAUAAGACAGUGUACAUCAACUAAUUCAACAAGGGAUGGAUCGCUACUGCAGAUUACAAAGUGAAUUUACAAACUCUAUUAGCAGUGACUAGUUACUGGUGAAUUUAGUGCAGUCUGAAUUAGUUUCGUUUGGUUAACAUACCAUGCACCUGUGGGAAUUUUUAGGUGUUACAUAGAGUAUAAACCCAGGACUCACUUAUACUAGUUGCUAAUUUCUAGGUAUAGAGUUUAUAAAAAUCAAGCACAAAUUUAGAGGCAUUUCAUAGUCUCAAAUCUGUUGAUGAGGAGAGGAUGGAGUACCCGGGACCUCAAAUUUAGCGGCGGAAGAUAGACAGGGUAUAAUUAUCAAGCAAUACAAUUCUUUUAUACAGAUUCCACUUCAGAGAAGAACAAAAAUAAUCAUUGCCAACUUAUGGAUUGCAAAGUGUCAAAAUACAAAUUUCAGCAUUUGGAGUAACACAAGAAGGCAAGGAGCAAGAUAAGUAUUAAUGGACAGUAGUGGUGAUUAACAUUCACUAAUACUGAUUGAUUUCUAAGUCAUACAAUUGAAAUGGGGGUUAAGGUGAACCUGUUAGUUCUGGAUCCUUGGUGGUGGUAUCAAUCUCCUUGAGGUUUAUUCCGCUAGGAAAAAGAGAGAACAGUGAAAUCAUUUUUUUCAUUUCACAGAUGAGUUUAGAAUAGAAAAAGGGAGGUGACUUACCAUAUCAUCUGCAAUAAAUAUUUAUUGAUUUGGAGCUGUAGAAAUUUAGUUGAAACCAAUUUCAUGAAGUUUGUAAGAGAUUAAAGUGUCUUAGUGAAAUUUGAUGGAUGUUCCAUGGCAAUAAUGGCUUCCACAACUUAAUGCAACAACCAGAUGAGGUUGGAGUAGCAAAGAUUGAAACCAUAGUUGCCUCUCCGUGAUGUCUUUCAGCUUUGAGUUUUAUCCACACAUUCCUUUUCCUGCUUACAUUUUCUGUUUUUGGUCUUUUCAGAUGUCUGGAUAUAUUUGUUGCUUUUGUUUUGGACCCGGGUCUUGCUUAACUUGGGCCAAUUUGUACAUAUCUUUUCUGCUCCUGAAUAAAUUGGGCUCUGGUCCAUCUUCAAUUAAAAAAAAGGAAAAAUGACAUGGACUGACCAGUUUAAAAAAAGGAAAUUUUGCAUAUAUACCGACAUGUUUACUCUUAAUUACCAAAAAUUUCAACAUUUUUCAAAAUCUCCAAAAAUUCCAACAUUUGACCUCUGAUAAUACAAGUUAAUCACAUUAGAUACAUACUGUUGAUAUAUGUAUCUAAUGUGAUUAACUUGUAUCAUACAUUAGAUAUAUGUAGGGUUACAUUAGAUACAUGUAGGGUUACAUUAAAUACAUGUAGGGUUAACUUGUAUCUCAAAAAUAGUCCCAAAUAUGAAAUGUUGGAAUUUAUGUAAUUUUUCAGAAGUAGGGGGAUUUUUAGAAAUUUUGAAAGUUAUGAUGUUUAUUUAUGUAAUUUUUUGUUAAAAAGAAAAAAAAUAGCCCACACUAUGAAAAUAUGGACAAUUGGAGCCAGUAGACCCAAUUUAUUUCCUGUUUUUUCAGUCAUUUGGCCCAAAACUAUUCUCCUUACACAAUUAAGGGGAUUAAAUACUCUUCACAGUAGGCUACUCUUAAAUCACUUUUCUUUUCAAACUAUACUUUCCCAAAAAAAUGUUCACCUCUAUUAUGUGUCGAUCAAUCUACUGUGUUUUGUGAUAACAAUUGAGUUAGUAGGGCACAUGCAGUCUCUAUACCCAAUUGAUACACUUUUGUACCAUAUUGAUACAUGUUUAUACCCAAUUGAUACUCUUUAUACUACAUUGAUACACUUUUAUACUCAAUUGAUACUCUUUUAUACUAGAUUGAUACACUUUUAUACCACGUCGAUACAGUAUGUAUAUUACAUAAAUACAUCUUUUACAGAGGAAAUUUGUGCAAGCAUAUACAGUAACAAUACCAAAUUAAUACAGUAAAUCAAAAUUAGUAAGUACGAACAUAAUUGAUACUCUUUAAAAUUAUAGUAUUAAUAGUACAUAAAGUAACAAAAAAAAAGAUCAAAUCAUCUUUCCAUCAAUUAUUGUUUUGAUUUAGUUCAUUCUUUCUCCUUAACGCUCUUUUAUAUUUCUAACUUCCUCUUCCUACCUUUAUUUUCUCUUCUUUUUUUCUUUCCUUCAUUACUAAGUUAGUUGUAAACACCCAUAUGAUGAAGUAUGUAUUUACUCUUGAGUUGAUGUCAUAUUUAUCCUACUAAGAAAAAUCACAGGUUCUGUAAGGAAUUGUCUAGACAUGGAGUACAUAUAAAAAUUUAUUCUGCCACUUGAAAAAAACCUGUAAAAAACUAAUUAAAUUCAGAUUUUUUGAGAUUUUAUACAAAAUUUAUGAAAUGAGAAAGGUAAAUUGGAGUAUCGAAAAAAGGUAAAGGAACAAAUAUUUAGGAGUUUGAAUGGAAAGGAAACUGGGAAUGAAAAGAAAAGAAAGAAAGGGAAAGUUACUUCAAGGAUGUUUUUGAUUUUGUUUAAGCGUAUGACAGUGAAGGUUAGUUAGUGGAAUUACUCUGUGUCUAUUUAUGAUGUAUUUAAUUUUGACUGCUAUUUUUUUAUAUUAUUUUAGUUUUAGGUGUUAUUUCUGUCAUUUGCCCAAAAAAAAAAACUUACUAUUUUACUACAAUUCUUGUUGGUAAGAAUACAUUAUUUCUUUUUUUUUUUUAGGGCAAACAACAUAAAUUUCGAGAAUUUGGAGCUUAAUUACAGAAAAUUCUGAUAUUUUGCAUAAUUGUUGAAAAUCUCAAUUUUGGAUCUGUUGAGAUACAUUAUUAGCUUCUGAUACAAUCAAAAAGAUACAUUUUUAACUUUGUAUAGAUAUAUAAUUAGCUUCCGCUACAUAUUUUUUAAAUUUUGCGUUUGUUGAGAUAUAUAAUACAUCCAAUGAAGAUAUAUUUUUUUCUUUGUAAAGAUAUAUAAUUAGCUCCCAGUGCAGUUUUUUUAUUUUUGGGUCUGUCGAGAUACAUAAUAAGCUUUCGAUACAUCCAACGAAGAUAUAUAAUUAAUUGAGCUUUUUGUAGUUAUUUUGUAAGAGUGAAAAUUUUGUAUAAAUAUAAUAAGUUAAGAUGUAUAUUUAUACUAUUUUUCCAUAAUUUGCUUGCGAACCAAAUCGACCACUAAAGAAUUGAAAAGUUAAACAAUUUGUUCCCAAUACAGAACAAACUUUAGCCUAAAAUUUAAUGCUAAAAAUUACUACAAUGAGCUGAGUGGCUGAAAUGGUGCCACUUAAGAAUAAUUUGGUGGAUGAAAUGAAUGAAUUGUUUUGGAGUACAAAUUUUGAUUUAGACAAUCUAUUGAAAUUUAUUAUAGUACUGUUUAUAUUUAGGGGCCAUUUUUCAGGAUCUAUGAAAAAUUUAUAAUGUUGAGUAGAACAUACUAUAAAAGUAAUGUUGGAUAGAGCAUAUCACACAUUAGCACAAUCCUAAUCAAUAAUGAUAGCUAUUCAUCUCUAGUUCACUUUUAUAGUUAAUCAAAGAAUUAUUAACAACGAAAAUUAAUUUUCUUGUUUUGGUUUUCUAUCAUUGAAUCAGCAAUAGUUUGAUAUAAGAACUAUUCAGAACAGACUAAAUUAAAGAGAAAGAUGGAAUACCGUCAAUGAAAAUAAUAGGAUAUGAUAUCUUCAAAGAUAAAGAAGGCAGUGAACUUUUUACACAUAUAAUACGUAUAAUUAUUAAAGAAUAUAAAAGAAAUUAAAAAAAGGACAUACAGUACAUAUAUAAACUGGAAAAGAAGAUCAAUAAUGUAAAAGUUUGAUGUUAACACUGUUCCUUAAUUAAAAUUUCCAUAAUGAUUAUACUCGCUAUUUUCUUUCAUUUGCACAAAUCAAUAUGCUCCUUUCCCCCCUUUUUUUCUCCUGAUCACUCCUUAAAGAACGAGACAUAUAGCAUACAUAGAGAAGAGAGUACUUUGUCUCCCUCAAUAAAUACCUUGAGAAAAAAAUGUAACUCAUUAGUAGUUUCUUGAUUUUGUAAAAUUUUCUUUAUUUAAAAAAGAGUAACAUUGGAAGAAGGUCAUUAGUAUCUUUUUUAUUAUCUAAAACAACAUUUAUUAUCUUUUUUAUUAUCUAAAACAACAUUUAUUAGGAGCAAAAUAAAAAAGCUAAACAACCACUUAUUAGAAACAGAGGGAGUACUAAUUAUCUGAUAGUGUUUUCAGUGUUACGCAUCAUGAACUAAAAGCUUAAUUUAAGAAGCAUUGACUGCUUAAUGAAAUCUUUUAAUUCACAAUGAUAAUAAGGAAAUCCAAUUUGUGUUGUAUCAUUCUAGCCUUUCCAUUUUUUAUGGAGACAAAGCAUUAAUAGACAAAUGGAGAUUGGACAUAUCAAGAUUUCAGUCUCAUCCUGUCAAAUCAUUAAUUGUAAAACCUUCAUGUAUUUCUAUGUUCAGCCUAAGAUAUUAAGGGGUUAAUAUUCUUUCAAAACAUGGAGAGUUUCUGAUAUUGGGAGACAUGGUUGUUUGUCGAAUAUAUUUAUUUCUCAAUAAUUGAAAUAUAUAAUUGUAUUUGAUGUGAAGAAAGUAUUAGUUAAAAUGCAGUUUGGUUCAUUUUGGCUAGGGAUUCCAUCCUUUCCAUGUAUAAAAGUUUUUGAAUGUAAGGAUGAGAAAUCAAGGUAUCUGCUACACUUUUUUUAUAUAUACGUGUAGCGCAUGUAUCGAGAAAUUAGUAAAAGAAAAAAAAAAUUCCUCAGCUAAUUCUCAAUCAACACCAACUCCAUCUUAGGAAAGUGUGGUUGGUUCUGUUCUUCCUCGAAUUCAAUGAAUUUUUGUCAUAUUGUCAUACAUAUAACGAAUAAUAUAUAUAUNNNNNNNNNNNNNNNNNNNNNNNNNNNNNNNNNNNNNNNNNNNNNNNNNNNNNNNNNNNNNNNNNNNNNNNNNNNNNNNNNNNNNNNNNNNNNNNNNNNNNNNNNNNNNNNNNNNNNNNNNNNNNNNNNNNNNNNNNNNNNNNNNNNNNNNNNNNNNNNNNNNNNNNNNNNNNNNNNNUAUGCCUCUUUUCCUCUUUAAAUUUUAAAGUAAUAAUUAAGAAGAAAAAAGAAGAAGAUACUAUUCAAUAAUUUAAUUCUGAUACCAUCAACAUGGAAGACUCCAUUUGCUUCAUCUAACAAUGGACUUUGGCAUUAUAUAAUUAACAAAACAAUUAAUUAUUAGGAUAACUUAAUCACCGACAAAGGUUUCUUACUAUUAUCCUUAUGAGAUUCCACUAGUUAAGCUAAAUAUUUUUAAUCGACGUAAGAGUUAUGAAUGUAUAAACAAGUAGAUCUUAGCUACAUUGACCUAGUCAAUCAUUAUUAUUACCGACAUAUUUAUGCUAUACAAAUAUUUGUCCUAAUGCUAUCUUUUAUUUAUUUUUUUAAUGGAAAAGGGUCAAAAAGAUUCCUGAAUUAUUCGAAGUGGAGCAAAAAUAUCCCUCAUUAGUUUUUUGUCUCAAAAGUAUCCCUCUCUAAUGAAAUAACACCAAGCAUGUCAUGUAGACAAAAUACGUCACUUGAACAGUUCACGUCAGAUCGACCAUCUUUAUUAAAGGUGAAUGCUCCAUUAAAUGAGAGAUUUUCCAUGUGGAUAUUGGCGCCUAGCGUGGACUGUUCAAGUGGCGCUUUUUGUCCACGGACAUACUUAGUAUCAUUCUGUUAGAGAGAUGAAUAGUUUUGAGCCAAAAAUUUAAUGGAGGAAUAGUUGUAAGCAAAAAAAUUAACGAAAGAUAUUUUUACUUUAUUUCAAAUAAUUUAGGAAUAUUUUUAAUCGUUUUUUGCUUUUUUAUGAUUUCUAAGUUGCUUAUAAUUUUUUUAUUACUACAUGAUUAACAAUAUUUUUUUAUUUCCAUAAAUAACAGAGAGUAAACUAAGUUGCACCUUAAUGGUCGAAAAGUAUUCACUAUUUUUUUUAGACUUAAAGAGGUGAUUCUGAUACAUGUCUUAUGAACAAUCAUUACAAAUUUUAUUAUUUUAAAUUUUGUUUUAGAUAAGUCUAUGAUUAAGUUGUUGGUGACCAAUUUAUUCAAUUGAGUGAGGCUGGCAUGUCCAAAGAUUUUAGGACGAAGAAACGGGUUAUUAUGUUAAUUAGGUAGAUUUAUUUUAGGGAGAAAUAAGACAUAUGCUUUAAUUUGUAAAUAUUAAUAAGUAUUUUUCCAUUUAAGCAUAGCUUCUUUUAAAUUUAAAUUAGUAAUCAAACAGUGUUUAGUAGUAUUUUCUACCUUGUUGGCUUUGUCACACAUUUGAGAGAUGCUAAAAAUGUGUAUUAAAAAAAAAAUAAGAUGGAAAGAGAAGCAUACUGGCUCAAAGGUAAAGCCGCUAAAACGUGCUUUAAGGUUCAAAAAUAGUAUUUUUAUUAUAUAAUUAGUCUCUCCUAUGUUUUACAGUUUAUAGUCUAUAUGCAAUAAAUCAAAUUCUAUUAUAUAAUUUUUUAUAUAAAAAUAAAAGUUUCUUUAAAGUUAUUAAAGGAUGUCCAUUUGUUGUAAUAAAAUACAUUGAUUUUGGUUCUCAGAAUCCUAUUGGUACAUAAUAAACUUUGGCUAUUUUAAUUCAAAGUUUUAAAAUAUCAAAUACAAUUCUAUAAUCUUUAACUAAAAAUUUAAAAAUAAGAUUAUUAAACUUCCGAUGAUAUGAUUGUAUAAGAAAAUAAUAAACAUUUUAAAAUGUUAUUGUAACUUUAUAUAAUACAUGUAACAGUAUUUUUCUAGUGAUUAUAAGAAGAAUUUUAUUGAAAAAUCAAACGUAAUUGUAACUUGCGGUAUUGAAAGUAAAAUUUGAUGGCGAGGAAAAUAUGAGUCCAUUCUUAUGUCAUUAAAAUUUAUAAACCUUUUUAUUAAGAUGACUUGAAAAUGGUAUUUAACUAUAUAUAAUUUAUAAUUUUUUAAUUAUCAUAAAUAAAAUAUUUCAUUUUCGUGAUAUUUUAGUUUGGAUUGCUUUCUAUCUAUCAUUAAUGACAAAAUACAUCGUCAGACCCCUUAAAUUGACACCAUUUUUCACUUUGGCAUCUUAAGUGGACAUUGUUCACCUUUGGCAGUUCAAAUAACCAUAAAGUGUAUCAUUUUGACAUCUUUCGACAUCAAUAAAAGUGUGUGUUACACUCACUGUCAACGUGGAUAAAACGGCCAACUGAUUUAUGCCAAUUCAUUUAAAUUGCCACAUCAUUAUUUAUAUUCACAAUUAGUUUUAAAAAAAAUAAAAUCAAAACAUAUGGCAAUUAAUGACAUAAUUAUCUAACUCAUUAAUAUAUAUACAAAAUUAAAUUAAAAGAAUCAAUUAAUUACUGACACGUGACAUUUUUCAAAAUAAUUAUAAAAUUAUUUAUUUUAUUUGGACAACCCUCCACCCACCUCCCACCCCCAAACUCCAAAGUCAUCUUCUCUACCACCAUCUAUCCCCCCGAUACCCCCCACCCUAAAUCAUCUUCUCUAUUUGGCAACACCCCUCUUCCCGUCAUGUUCUCCAUCUCCCUCCCCCCCCACCACCCCCAACCCCUGCCUGAGUCAUCUUAUCCUCUCCAUUUGCCCCUUUGAAAAGAUGAACACUCAAUCAAAGAUUAUAGUAUAUAUGUAUAUCAAAGACCUUGAUUAGUCAUAGCUUGACCUCAAAAAUUAGAAGGCAUUAAAUGACUGUUUUUUUUCUUAACAAAAAAUAAAAAAGAAAUGAUUGACCUUGAAAUAUAUUCAUCAGUAGUAUGUGUGAACCUAUUCUUUGGCAACGCAGUGGUCUUCUUACUACUUCAGUUGCAGUCAUAACAUGUUGACAAAGAUGGUGAUUGCUCAACAACAAAUCACUCGUUGUUGUUAGUGUGUUAGUGUGUUUCGUUAUUCUUGAAAAGUUCAACCUCCAUUAAUGGAAGUUAAGCUAAAGAAAGGUUGUGUGAAGAAGGCAAUGUGAGGAAAUUUUUUGUAAUUAUUUGGUCAAUAAAACAUGUGCCAUUAAUUUAUUGGAUCAAUUUUUACUGAUUUGGCAAUAGAGAUUUUCAAUAGUUUUAAAAAAAAUUUAAAGAUGAAAAAUUACAAAAAUAUCCCUAAAAAUUUAUGAAAAUACUCUUCAAACGCUCCAAAAAGUGAGCAACGUCCACUUGAAGUGCCAAAAUGAAAGAUAGCACCAAGUUGAGGACCGACAAUAUAUUCUUUCUUCAUUAAUUAGUGCAUGUACUACUCCUGUACUCCAUUGGUUUUGAUUUUUUCUUGUUCCUGCACAUUAUUUCUCCUUUUUUACUGUCUAUAUAGUACUAUUUUUUAACUUAGUAUGUUGAAAUUAAUUAUUUUUUAUUUGCAUAUGAAAAAGAAAUACUUAACUAGAUUGAUUCUUAUUCGUAUAUAAAAAGUUAAAAUAGUGAAAUUCAAGAAAAAUAUAUGAAUUUUAUAUUUGGCUUUAGAUGGCUAAUUAUAUUAAGCCGCCCUUGAAGGGACGGUGAAUUGUAAUAUUUUUUGUGGUUGACUAUGAGGCGAGCUAUAAUAUGAAAUCAAAUAAGUAACAUAGUAUAAUUAUGUGCUAAGUAAUGUGUCAUAUGAUAUUUUUCAAUUGAUUUGAAUUCAGUGUGAAUUAUAGUUAGUCCUUCCUUUUGGAUUUUUGUUAAACUGAAAUUUUCAUUUUUAUUACAUAGAGAGAGAAGUUAUAAAAAGGAUGAUUACAACGUGUUGUAACUUUUCAGGACGAAGAACAACAAGUCAUUGUUUUAUUAAAGAGGGAUUGUCCCUUGUCCAUAUCAGCUUUCAAGAAAAUAACAGAACAAAUGUUGAAUCUACUACUAUGAGAAAUUCAUCAUUUGUUUUGUUGGAGUUAGCCAAUGUCUGCUUUCUCCUUCCUAAUCCUAAAAUUAGCCAAACCAACUUUAUCCAACCUAUAAGUCCUUUAUAUUCAUCAUUAAGCUCUUGAAAUUGUUGUUGAGUACAAUGUUGAGGGUGUACUUAAUUUCUAAUCAUACAAUAGCGGUCUUUUUCACUCUUUGUAGUUGAUAUAUUGCCUCACCAAACACUAUUUUCCUCUCUUCGCUCUUUUUAAAUACACAAUAAAUGAAUUAGGAAGUUACAAUGCUUGUUAAGAAUAGCAUAGAGCUUUGGAGAAUGUUUGGACAGGAUGUACAGUUUCUUUUCCUAGAAGGCAUAUAUAGUCUUUGUGUGCUUGAUGUCUUGAAAAAGGAUAGAGAAAGACAAUCCAUACUACAUGAAAAAUAUUGAAUUGAGACAUAAUAUUUAUCAAUGGACAAGUCUGGCAUAGAGUUUAAACGGAUUUGUGAUAGAAUUAACUAAUUUAUAGUGUUGAUUUUAAUUUUUUCAAAAAUAAAUCAUAAAAUAGAUUGCCUAGCUUGACGUGUUAUGUGAUAUUAUGCAUAGAUUAAGUCCAUUGGAGGUUGUCUGAUUAGAGAAUCGGACAAUGCUUAGCAUGGGAAUUUCAUUGAAUAUGGAGCUAAGUGAGACUUUAAUCUCUCAUUUACUUGCUUUUUCAAAAGCAUUAUUUAAAACUGAGAAAUCGCUUCAAACUACUCCUCCACCCCAUUUUAGUUGGGCACAUUCUAUUUUAUACGGUGAUUAAGAAUCAUAAAUUGAAUGAUAAAUUUUACGAUCUUACCCUUUACUCAUAUUAAUGUUAUUCGUUGGGCAUAAGAAUGAACAUUGAAAUUGAAAUUGUUAACAUUUAAUAUAUACUAAAAAUUGUAGGGGAAAAAUAAAAAAAUAAUUAAUUUUAUCCUAAUUUAGUAAGUGGUCUUUUUUGGUGGGCUGAAACGCAUUAAAAAGAAAUAGCGGAGUAUUACAGUAGCACCUGGAUUAACCAGGAUCUACAAAAUUUGAGUUUGAGCUUAUGCCCUCUAAUGAAACAUUACAACACCUUGUUUGCCUAAUGAAACUAGUUCCUAGGAUGUCAGCCCAGGUAGCUUUGCAGCAUACAUUGGAGGAAUUACAAAAGAGUUUCUCUGUCCACAAACUUUCAGUCUUGCUCCUUCCUUAGCUAAUGCAUCCUUCACCAUAUUCUGCUCUUUAUAGCAGUGCUGGAUUUGUGGUCGUCCCAGACUCCUGAUUAGCAACCUGCAUCCAUUAAUUAUGGCAUUAUAGUGGAGGUUUCCCUCUUUGAGCAUAAUAAUAACCUUUUUCGAGUCUACAUUGAUGUCCACGGGAACUAAGGACAUUUCCUCCAUAAUUUUUAGUCCCUUUAGUUGAGCAAAGAGCUCCAUCUGGUUAUUAGUAAUCACAGGGAAAACUUUUUUGAAACCUGUAGUCCAAUUCCCUUCAUUGUCUCUAAUAACCCCUCCAAUACCACCCCUACCAGGAUUUCCCAAACAUGAGCCAUCAGUGUUAAGUUUAAAUCUUUCUUUAGAGGUUGGUUCCCACUUAACACUAAUGUUCAAUAAUCUAUUUGUCACGACCUGAAUCAAGGUCUGGCCGUGAUGGGCAUCCCUAGCCAACCAAGGUCGGAGAUGACCCCUAACCUUACCUCAAGAGCACAUCAGUAAAAACAAACAACAAAAUCCAACCAAGAUAAAAAGAGAAACAUAUGAUUCCAAAAGAAAGUUAAGAGUCAAAACCAACUCCAUAAUAAUAUCCCGACACUGCCUACAAAAGUCUCUAAUCCAAAAAUACCAACUAAGUCAAGACAUGUCCCCGACUAUAACAAAAGAAAUUCAAAAGUUCUGAAAUGAUAAAUGUAACUAAGAAAGAGGCCAAGUCUUUUGAUAGUUCAUAAGUUGGUUGAACUUGUGUUGAACUUAUUGUGGAUUAAAUACAAAUUUUGUACCCAGAAUAACAAUCUUAAGGAAUUUAUUAAUAAUUUUAAUUUUUGAGUUUCUAGAGAUUAAAACUUUUUGCUUUCUACGCUGUUUGAACUUUAUAGUGAUUUGAAGUUAUAAAAACUUCAUCACGGGUUAAUGUUCAUUCAGUUGAUGAUUAGAAGAACAUAAAAGCUUCAACAUUAAACUAGAAAUAAGUUGUUUAAAGUUUUUAAAACUUUAUUCUUAGUAUUUUGACUUACUAAAUUGGUUGUCUUUUUGUCACAGUAAAAAUGAUUAUUGAAAAUCAAGUUAAUGAUGGAAUGGUCAAUGUCACAACAACAAAUAUUGCUACUUAAAAUCGUUCAAAUGCUGCUCCGCCAAGGCACUGACAGAAAAAUCAGAAAGUUUUCUAGUGUGGAUUUUAAAAGAUGGCAGCAGAAGUUGUUCUUUUAUCUGACUACAUUAAAUCUACAAAGGUUCAUCACUGAAAGCAUUUCAGAGUUUUCGAAAGAAAUAUCCAAAAAUAUACUUUAUUACUACAAAAGCUUGAAAGCACUUGAAUUUUUUAUAUAAGAACUACAUACUGAGUGGCUACAACAUGGCAUGUACAAUGUGUACAGCAAUAUGAAGACCUCUAAGGAACUAUGGGUAGCUUUGGAAAAGAAGUACAACAUAGAGAAUGCAUGAAUGAAGAAAUUUAUUAUUGCAAGAUUUGUAGAUUUUAGGUGGUAGACAGUAAUACUGUAGUUACCCAAGUUCAAGAACCGCAAGUCAUCAUUCAUGAUCUCCUCACCAAAGGUAUAAAUUUGUUCUUGAUACUUACAUAGUCUCUGAUGUAGGCUUAAUUGUGAACGAGGCUUAUCAAGUAGCUGCUAUAAUCGAGAAGUUACCACAUUUGUGGAAAGACUUCAAAAACUACUUAAAGCACAAGCACAAGGAGAUGUCUUUCGAAGACCUUAUUGUGAGGUUAAGAAUCGAAGAGGACAAUAAAGCAUCAGAAAAGAGGUCUCGAUGGAAUUUACAAUAAGUAGAGAAAAUAUUGUGGAAGACGACCCCCAAUAAAUUAAAGAGAGAAAGGAAGCGUCAGGACAAUAAGGCAAUCCUCCUAAGAAGAAAUUCAAAGAAAAUUAUUUUAACUGUGACAAAGUUGGCCACAAGUCUUCAGAUUGUCAGGCUCCUAAGAAGGACAAGAAAAGAGGAUCAAGCUAACAUGGUUGAAUCCAAGAUGAUGUGGAGAUCUAUGUGCUAUGCUUUUGGAGUGCAUGUUGGUUGAAAAUCCUAGAGAGUAGUGGAUUAAUUCAGGUGCCACUAGCCACAAUGUGCCAACAAAAAAUUAUUUCCAUUAUAUUUUCUGGCUCAGGCUAAUGAGAACAUAUUCACGGUAACUCUGUUACGGUAAAGAUUGAAGGAAAAUGCAAGAUUUACUUGAAGAUGACAUUGGGCAAGGUGGUGACACUAAACAACGUCCUUUAUGUUUCAAAGUUGCGAAAGAACUUAGUUUCUACUUCACUUCUAACUAAAAAUAGAUUCAAAUAAGAAUUUGUUUCUGACAAAGCUGUAAUUAGUAAGCAAGAAGUGUAUGUAGGUAAAGGUUACUUCAUCGAGGAUUUUUUUAAGAUCAGUGUAAUAAAUGUUGAAAUCAAUAAAAAUUCUGUUUCUUCUUACUUACUUGAGUUAAAUGAAUUAUGGCAUGAACAUUUAGGACAUAUUAAUUACAAAACUUUGCAAAAACUGAUUAAUUUAAAAAUUUUGCCUAACUUUGAGUGUAAUAAAUCAAAUUGUCAAACAUGUGUGGAAUCUAAGUAUGCUAAGCAUCUAUAUAAGUCUGUUGAAAGGAAUUUCAAUCCCUUAGACUUAAUCCACACAAAUAUUUAUGCUAUGAAGUCAAUACCAUCUCAUGGUGAGAAAAAGUAUUUCAUAACUUUUAUUAAUGAUUGCGCUAGAUAUUGUUAUUUUUAUUUGCUAAAUGAUAAGAAUAAAGUAAUAGACGUAUUUUGGUAAUAUAAAACUAAAGUUGAAAACCAGUUGGAUAAAAAGAUCAAAAUAAUAAGAAGUAAUAGGAGUAGAGAGUAUGUAUCUUCUUUUGCAGGGGUAUGUUAGAAAAAAGGAAUUAUCCAUCAAACUAAUUUCCCGUAUUCACCUCAAUCAAAUGGGAUUGUGAAAAGAAAAAUUGAAUGUUAAAGAAAAUAAUAAUUGUCUUACUCAUAAGUUCAGAUAUACCGCAAAACUUGUGGGGGGAAGUUAUCCUUACAGCAAAUCGAAUACUCAAUAGAGUUCCCUAUAAGAAGACACACUCUAUCCUAUAUGAAAAUGAAAAGGAAGGAAACCCAACUUGAAAUAUUUCAAAGUGUGGGAUUGUCUAGCUAAAGUCCAAGUCUAUAUACCUAAAAGGAUAAAAAUAGGACCAAAGAUUGUGGAUUGUGUGUUCAUCGUAUAUGCUACAAGGAGUAAAGCAUUUCAAUAUUUGGUUCAUAAAUUCGAACCAUGAAAAUACGAUAAUCUGAAUCAGAUAAUAUUAAGUUCUUUGAAUACAUUUAUCCGUAUAAAAUUGGACAUGAGAUGUCUAGUGGAGGAUCUAAACAACCUCGAGAUGAACCAAAGGAGAAUGUACUUAAUAAUGAGAAUCAAGGUGUAGUACACGUCAAAUACCGUCAAUUUUCUUUGGAUAAGAUUUUGUAACAUUUCUUCUUGAAAAUGAGCCUUAAAAAUUGAAAGAAACGAUGUCGUCUUCAGACCCAUCCUUUUGGAAAGAGGCAAUCAAUGGUGAUAUAGAUUCAAUCUUGAGCAACCAUACUUAGGAAUUGAUUGAUCUUUCUCCGGUAAAUAAACCUUUAGGUUCUAAAUGGAUCUUCAAAAGGAAAAUAAAAGCUAGUGGUACUUUUGACAAUUAUAAGACAAGACUUGUUGUGAAAGAUUUUAGACAAAAAGAAGGCCUUUAUUAUUUCGAUACAUACUCGCCAAUAACAAGGAUAACGUUCAUUCAGAUGUUGGUUGCGUUGACGACAGUAUAUGAUGUUGAAAUUCAUCAAAUGGAUGUGAAUACAACGUUCUUAAAUAGAGAAUUGAAGGGAGAAAUUUACAUAAAACAACCUAAGGGUUUUGUAGUUUCUGGUAAAGAAAAGAAAUUGUGCAAACUUGUUAAAACACUUUAUGGAUUAAAACAAGCACCCAAAUAGUGGUAUAUAAAAUUUGACCAAACCAUGUUGGCAAACGAUUUCAGGAUAAACGAAUGUGAUAAAUGUGUUUACAUUAAAGACACUCCAAAUCACAAAGUCAUUAUUUGUUUGUAUGUGGAUGACAUGUUGACCAUCAGUAGAGACAUUCUAACAUAAAUGCUAUGAAAUAAAUGCCUGAGGGCAAGUUUGAUUUGAAAGACCUUAGAGUUGCUGACGUAAUCUUAGGGAUAAGAAUUUUUAGAACUCCAUAGGUAUUGGCGUUGUCACAGUCGCAUUACAUUGAAAAGGUGUUUGACAAGUUCAAGCAUUUAGAUUUCAAUAUUGUUGAGACUACAUUAGACAUGAGUUUUGCAUUUCAAAAGAAUGAAGGUGAAAGUAACUCACAGUUGGACUAUGCAAGAGUGUUGAAAAGUUUGGUGUAUAUAUCAUAAAUUGUACGUGAGAAGACAUAGAAUGCACUAUUAGUAAAUUAAGUCGGUAAAAGACUACUCCUAAUCAAACUCAUUGGAUGGAUAUGAAAAAAGUUUUAGGGUAUCUAAAACAUACCCAAGACUAUGUUUUUAUUAUAACAAAUAUCCAGCGUAGAUGAGGUGACUUUUCAAAAUAAUGUAAUUUUUCGUGAACCAUUACUUUCUUUCUGAAGCACCACAUUGUGGCUAUAAAUGCCUGAAUUUUUCCUCUGAUAAAGGUAUGAAGAUUUGAAGGGAAAAACAUUUUCUUUUUCUUCUUAAAACUCUGGUAUGAUCUUCAAACUAUUGAGUGAGUUCGUUGUUCAGAAAAUUUGAGGUACCACUAUUUUUUGAAGAGAAUCAUUUUUCGUAGGGAGGAUAUAUUCCUUUAACCUCGAGUACUUGACUAGAAUAAUUUUUUUAAGGAUACAUCGUGAAUUCAGUGGAUUUGACUCAAUCGUUUCUGUCUUCAUCCCAUUUUCUUAAAGUUGGUUUUAUUAUUUUUCCAGAAAAAUAGUUUGAACAUUAUAUUGAUAGUUCUUCAUUUGUUUGAACUUGUGUUUGAAGUUUUUGAAACUUCAUUUUGAUAGGUUAUAAGUUGUUGAACUUGUGUUGAAGUUAUUGUGGAUUAAAUACAGAUUUUGUACAAAAAAUAAUACGAAAUAGCUGUGAAACCUUGGGGAGCGACCAACUAAAAGAAUUUGCACCGAAGUCGAUCCGAAAUCACUUUCAAAGUAAUGGCUUACCACGACACAAUAUUUUCAGUUCCAUAUUAAUAUUAGAGUAAUUUUUCCAACAAGUGGCAAAGUUUGUUAUUUAACUACAAAAUUUGUUCGUCAACAAAUCCUUGUUUUUCUUUUGUUGGGUAGUAUAUUUUGGUUUUAUCUAAUCAAUCUAUUGACAAGCUAAGCGCCUACGAAAACGAUGUAGAUGUUCUACCUACGGGGGCGGGGGGGUGUCUAUUACAAUUACAAAAAUAAACUGAAUGUUGAGUUUCAGUUCCACUAACACCUUGCAAAAGUGAAUUACCCAUGAAAGAUGGGGGUAUUAUAUCAAAAAAAAAAAACAUAUCUUUUGUUGUUUUCUAAUUUCUAACGAUAUAUUUUUGAUCCAUUGCUUUCCCAUAGUAUGCUAACUUGACAGCCACUUUUUUUUGCUUUUCUAUAUACGUGGAACACUUUUUUUUUCGUCAAAAUGCGAAUCAUAAUUUAAUCCGUCAAUUUUUACUAAAUUGUAAUUGUCUUUUUUUUUUUAUAAACAGAGAUAGCAGGUAACCCAAGAAAAAAAAAUGUCUAGCAGAACAUAUUACGCAUCCUCGAAACUACUAUGACCUAUAAAACUAGAUGAUAAAAAAAUUGGUUUUAUCAUACUGGCACACUUGUAGAUGUUCCAUAAUUCAUGUAAAUUUACUUCAGAUGAAUUGUAGUUUUUGUGUUCAAAUUCAUAUAAAAACGAAAUGAUUUAAGUUUCGUUCUUUGAAUAUCGCCAUACAGAAAUAAAAUAGAACAAGGGGAGUACUUUUCUAGGUCUCUAUUUGAUAUUUUAUCAGUAACAAUUUGAAAAUAGUCAUAACUCAUACACGUAGUAGUAGGUGGAAAUGUUUCUGAUUGAAUUCGGCAUAAAAAUAUUUUUAUGGAAAAAAAGUUUCUUCUAGUUUUGGUUUAUAAGUGGAUCAAUUUUUGUGGAAAAAAAGUUUCUGCUAGUUUUGGUUUCUAAGUGGAUCAUUCCCUAGCGCUCUACUAAAUGAUUUAAUUUUAUAUAAAGAAGAUGAAAUUAUAAGAAAAAAGAGAAAAAAGAAAAAGACUAGAGAUCUAAAGAAGGGAAAACUUAAAGUAUGUGGUAAUAACUUCUUUUAUUCAUCACAUAAUCUCUGCAUUUUGCAAGGAGAUUGAAACUGAGCAAACAUACACAAAGACAUAAAAGUAAAAAUACAAAUAUAAAUAGAGUACAAACAAUAUCACUAAUAACUUAGAGAACAUGAAGCUACAAAAGAACUUCGCCUCCCGUGGGGCUUAUUGUUUACUCUUUUUUCUUCUUUUUGGCAUUGCCUCUCGAAAUGGAAAAUGCCUUUCCUUGAGCUCAACAUUCUGCUUUUCCUGCAUAAGAAUAUAAUAUUGUCAAUGAGAACAUAUAGUAACUGAUUAAUAAACCUAAUAAGUAGGAGAUAGCAUAGGCUUAUAUAUUAAUGCGUUUGCAUGAAGAAAUUGUGCAACUUGUAUUGAUUUGCAUUUAGACAAAUCAUUUUUAAGAAUUUUAGUUUGGCUUAAUUACCUUAGAUUUGAUGUUGUUGUUUCUUAGUGAUGGUAGGGAGGAGGUGGAGACUUGUAAACCGGAGUUGGUGGUGGUGGAGACUUGUAUACUGGUGCAGGAUGGUGUGGUGUUGGUGAAGGAUGGUAUGGAUUCACUGGUGGUGGUGACUUGUAAACGGGUGUUGGUGGUGGUGGAGAUUUGUAUACUGGUGCAGGGUGGUAUGACUUCACUGGUGGUGGUGGUGACUGGUAAACGGGUGUUGGUGGUGGUGGAGACUUAUAAACUGGUGCAGGAUGAUAUGGCUUCACUGGUGAUGGUGGUGACUUGUAAACGGGUGUUGGUGGUGGUGGAGACUUAUAAAUUGGUGUGGGAUGAUAUGGUGUUGGUGGAGGAUAGUAUGGCCUCUUAGGUGGUGGUGGUGACUUGUAAACUGGAGUUGGUGGUGGUGGCGACUUGUACACUGGAGUGUGUGGCGGGUAGUAUGGCUUUUUGGGUGGUGGUGGGGACUUGUAAACUGGAGUUGGGGGUGGUGGAGACUUGUAAACUGGGGUGUGUGGAGGGUAGUGUGGUGGUGACUUGUAAACUGGAGUCGGGGGUGGUGGAGACUUGUAAACUGGGGUGUGUGGAGGAUAAUGUGGCUUCUUUGGUGGUGGUGGGGACUUGUAAACUGGAGUGUGUGGAGGAUAGUGUGGCUUCUUCGGUGGUGGUGGUGACUUGUAAACAGGAGUUGGUGGUGGUGGCGACUUGUGAACUGGUGCGGGAUGAUAAGGUGUUGGUGAAGGGUGGUAUGGCUUCUUAGGUGGUGGUGGAGAUUUGUAAACAGGAUGAUGAUGGUGUGGUGGAGGGGACUUAUAUACUGGGUGGUGAUGGUUUGGUGGAGGAGACUUAUAUACUGGGUGGUGGGGUGGAGAUGGAUAGACAUGCACUGGUGGAG
rnacentral:lncRNA from 1 species